rnacentral:rRNA from 1 species
UACGUAGGGGGCAAGCGUUGUCCGGAUUUAUUGGGCGUAAAGAGCGUGUAGGCGGCCAGGUAGGUCCGCUGUGAAAACUCGAGGCUCAACCUCGAGAUGUCGGCGGAAACCAUCUGGCUAGAGUCCGGAAGAGGAGAGUGGAAUUCCUGGUGUAGCGGUGAAAUGCGCAGAUAUCAGGAAGAACACCAAUAGCGAAGGCAGCUCGCUGGGACGGUACUGACGCUAAGGCGCGAAAGCGUGGGGAGCGAACAGG